UACGUAGGGCGCAAGCGUUAUCCGGAAUUAUUGGGCGUAAAGAGCUCGUAGGCGGUUUGUCGCGUCUGCCGUGAAAGCCCGGGGCUCAACCCCGGAAUGUCUUUCGAAACUGUUGAGCUAGAGUGCAGAAGAGGCAACUGGAAUUCCCAGUGUAGCGGUGAAAUGCGUAGAUAUUGGGAAGAACACCUGAGGCGAAGGCGGGUUGCUGGGCUGACACUGACGCUGAGGCGCGAAAGCCAGGGGAGCGAACGGG
rnacentral:rRNA from 1 species